GUGGUUGUGGAUCAGUGGUAGAGUACUCGCCUAGCAUGUGUGGGGUGCUGGGUUCGAUCCUUAGUACCACA
rnacentral:tRNA from 1 species